UGUAGGGGGCGAGCGUUGUCCGGAUUUAUUGGGCGUAAAGAGCUCGUAGGCGGUUUGGCAAGUCGGGUGUGAAAACUCCGGGCUCAACUCGGAGACGCCACUCGAUACUGCCAUGACUUGAGUCCGGUAGGGGAGUGCGGAAUUCCUGGUGUAGCGGUGAAAUGCGCAGAUAUCAGGAGGAACACCGGUGGCGAAGGCGGCACUCUGGGCCGGUACUGACGCUGAGGAGCGAAAGCGUGGGGAGCGAACAGGAUUAGAUACCCUGGUAGUCCACGCCGUAAACGUUGGGCACUAGGUGUGGGGCUCGAUCGACGGGCUCCGUGCCGUAGCUAACGCAUUAAGUGCCCCGCCUGGGAAGUACGGCCGCAAGGCUA
rnacentral:rRNA from 1 species